AUCCUGCUGACGAAUUUCAAAUAGGACGAAACGCGCGUCAAACUGAAU
rnacentral:hammerhead_ribozyme from 1 species